CACUUCGUGUGACACGUGCGUGCGAGCGUCAUGUACGCCGCUUGUAGUCGUGGUAACGCCGGCAACAGCUUCUCUUUUCAUCCACUUUGGCAAAUUGAAUGGAGGCGGAUUUUUUUUUUUUUUCGUGGAUCAUUGUCGUGGAUUAGAGGCAUGCAACUUAUUUCUUAUGAUAAAUGGAAUGCUCAUUAGAUUUCGGUGCACAAUAUUGUCCAAUUUUGAGCCCAUAUAAAUUGCGAAUAAAACAUUUCCUGUUAUAUCCUUGAUAAGUAGGAAAGUGUGUAACCAAUGCAUUAUUCCUGCACUAACGUGCGGAGCCGUAAGCAGCGCGAAAACGAGCCAUUUAGCGCACGAUAGCAAGCCUUCCGCCUUCCUGCUGUUUUUGUUUAUGUUUAUAAUUAAGGAAGUUGCAGGCGUAUGAUGUAUUUGGCUGGCACACAGCAGAGGCUAAUAUAUAGAGAUCUCAUCAGCCUUGCACAAAUGGGCUGAUGCUGAUAAUGACAUAAAAUCUAACGACAUCUCAGUGCGUCUCUUGCUUUACGACAAGUGCUGGUCAAGAACAUGGGUUUUCAUAGAUUCUGCAUUACUUACUGCAGCUGACACGACUUCAGAAGGGACAAGCCGGGAAUGCAGUUGGGCUGGACUCGCUUCUGGUAGUUCUGAUCCUCAAGUCCCUUGGUUAGUUUGAGGUACCAGAUGUCGACGGUAAUUCUGGAGGACACCUCUUUAUGGGCGUCUUCACAAGAUGUGUCCAUCGGUCGAGUAUUGAAAAUGUGCGCUUUGGACCCUGCCAAAAAUCCAUCUCACCAGCCUCUUGAAAAGCAUCCACUUGCUUGCACCAUUACAUGACAUAGCAGUUUGAUUCGUUAUGGAUUUAAUGUUGUGGUGGUGAUAUUCCUUGCCAUCUGGAUCCCCGGCACAGUAUCACUCGCUCGGGCCCCUGGAGCCACACCGGUCACUUCUGGACGUGUAUGGCUGGAUGCUUUCCUGCCGGCUGUGCACUUACAAGACCGAGAACAGGACCACCAUGAAAA